rnacentral:rRNA from 1 species
UACGAAGGGUGCAAGCGUUACUCGGAAUUACUGGGCGUAAAGCGUGCGCAGGCGGUUUUGUAAGUUUGUCGUGAAAGCCCCGGGCUCAACCUGGGAAUUGCGAUGAAGACUGCAAGGCUUGAAUCUGGCAGAGGGGGGUAGAAUUCCACGUGUAGCAGGUGAAAUGCGUAGAGAUGUGGAGGAACACCGAUGGCGAAGGCAGCCCCCUGGGUCAAGAUUGACGCUCAUGCACGAAAGCGUGGGGAGCAAACAGG